AAGUUUCAACAACGGAUCUUCUGGCUCUCGCAUCGAUGAAGAACCCAGCGAAAUGCGAUAAGUAAUGUGAAUGCAGAAUUCAGUGAAUCAUCGAAUCUUUGAACGCACCUUGCGCUCCUUGGUAUUCCUCGGAGCAUGCCUGUUUGAGUAUCA
rnacentral:rRNA from 1 species